UACGUAGGCAGCGAGCGUUGUUCGGCAUUACUGGGCGUAACGCGUGCGUAGGCGGUGCUCUAAGUCUGUUGUGAAAUCUCCCGGCUCAACUGGGAGGGUGCUGCGGAAACUGGAAUGCUAGAGUGUGGGAGAGGUAAGCGGAAUUCCUGGUGUAGCGGUGAAAUGCGUAGAUAUCAGGAGGAACAACUGCGGUGUAGACAGCUUACUGGACCACGACUGACGCUGAGGCACGAAAGCGUGGGUAGCAAACAGG
rnacentral:rRNA from 1 species